rnacentral:lncRNA from 1 species
CCUUCCAAUUGGAGGAAAAGCAGGUCAGGUCUCUGUCAUCUCCAAGACCAGCCUAUAGGCCUUUAAAGUUUCCCUGUUUCUUAAUGUGGGGUCUACAGGGUUUCUCAGAGGCAAAGCAUGAACAGACCAAGGGUCCUAUAGCUCCCAACCUAGUCCUUAGAUUUCUCUCUGGCCUUGGUUACUCCCACAAACCACUGUGAGCCUACCAAGGGCAGGAAUGGAAAUGCCCAUCAGCCUGGGAACCAUCUUUUUCUCUUAGGAGGUAUCCGCCCUAUAGUUACCUUUACACAACACUUGUGAAUAUCAAGUGUUCUAGACUGCACUGUUCAUAAUUGACUACAGAGAAGACUAGGAUCUUCUCCACAAAUAGAAAUAUAUCACUUUUACUUGGAGAUGUUUUCUUGGGGGAAAAAAAAUCUAGCACCUUGAAACCUGUUACAAUGUUUAAAUCUCCCUUCUUUACCUUGGCUGUCAUAAAAUCCUCCUGUUUGAGCUAAAUGUGGCCUGCUGAAGUCUUAAAUGCCCAUAUUUUUCAGGCUAAGGCCAUGGUGGACAUAGCUAACUCCACUAGAAUCCUAGCUGGGGGUGUUGGAAAAAACGGUACAGUGCCCCUCUCAGACUCCAGGCUCACGUCCGUCUCCCCUCCCCGCACAUUAUAAUCUACUACUUCUCUAAUGCUGCUGCGUAGUUUGUCUUAAAGCCUCAAGACUGGCCAGAUGUGCA